UGAGGAAUAUUGGUCAAUGGCCGGAAGGCUGAACCAGCCAAGCCGCGUGAAGGACGAAGGUGCCAAGCAUUGUAAACUUCUUUUGUCAAGGGACAAAAUCAGGCUCGAGAGCCUGACCGAGGGUACUUGAAGAAAAAGCAUCGGCUAACUCCGUCGCC
rnacentral:rRNA from 1 species